rnacentral:lncRNA from 1 species
CUUCUGCCCCUUUUUGCUACCCCUGAAGCUUACUGUUAGUGGUCGAGUUUUUCUGGAAGUGGGCUUCCGCGAUCGCGGGGACCAACGCCCUGAGCUCUUGUGCCCAAAGGGGAUCGCCAGGUUUUUUGAUGCGGAUCGAAAGGGACUGGCCCCGGAGCCUACAACCUGACGCAGGUGGACAAGGUGGAGGAGAGAGAAUUCCUUGGCAGUAGCAUUAUGAACAAAUGCAGGGCUGAGAAACAGCAUGGUGGCCUUGACUAAGUUUAUGGCGACAGCAGGCGAUGCCUCUUCAUGGGUGGUGGAUGAAGAAACUGAACAGGGCCAUGAUCCUUAUCUGUAAUUUCCCGGCUACCACACUGCUUUGGUGGUCUUCCCUCGUCUCUUCCUGGGUAGAAACAACUACCUGGAGAUCCCAAUGUUCUUGUCAGUGCACUUUUCAUGGACUGCAGUGGUAAGACGAUGUGUUGGAUGCCCAAACACAAACCAAGAGCCCUCUACCUUCGCAAUUCCCGGUGCUGUGGAGCUGUCAGAGUUUUAACAUCUCAACCAAGCCACAUGGAUACUAUUUCCUCAGAAAAGACAAAAUUGAUCCAAGCAGAAGAGUGAACUCACCGAAGAGGACUCUCUACCCAUAACUGGGGAUGCCUCAGCCACUCACACUUACUCCAAGAUUAGUGUCACUGAUUAUGGAAAGAAUUGACUUCUUCCCCUGGUCUUGCUCAUUUUUCUAGAGCCCAGGACAAUAAAUGUGUUUUACGGCAGAGAAAAGUGAAGACGGGUGGAAUUGUGUGUGUUGAGAGAGAAGCAGAUAGGCAAUCUUACGCUUUGGCUCCUAGAUUAUGCAGGUGCCUCUUUUCUAUCAUCUCCAUAAAUCCUACCCUUACUGCGCUUCCUAUUCUGCAGGGGUAUUUUGUUGUCCGUAACAGAACUCCUCCUCUGUCUGUAAAGUUUAGGUUUUGAUAAAAAAUCCUCUUCCCUCCAGAAGCGUCUACUAAAAAUACAAAAAAAUUAGCUGGGUGUGGUGGCAUCCACCUGUAGUCCCAGUUACUCAGGAGACUGAGGCAGGAGAAUCGCUUGAAACUGGGAGGCGGAGGUCGCAGUGAGCCAAGAUCAUGCCACCGCACUCCAGCCUGGGUGAGAGUGAUACUCCGUCUCAAAAAACAAAUGAACAAUAAAAAACAAACAAAAAA